AUGAGGGCUACUUGGUGCUCUCCAAGUUCGGUUGUUUUCUUGUAGAUGUUUCAUCACCCAAACCAGGUAACAUCAUCAAUGCUAGGCUGCAUGAGGGGUUGUGUGU